rfam:Angiostrongylus costaricensis strain Costa Rica genome assembly, scaffold: ACOC_scaffold0000305
UGUGUAUUCUUUCUUGAUAAGCUUGCACGAGGUUGAUAAAUUUUUUUAUCAACCUCGUGCAAGCUUAUCAAGAAAAAAUACAUA